rnacentral:rRNA from 1 species
CCAGACUCCUACGGGAGGCAGCAGUGGGGAAUAUUGGACAAUGGGGGGAACCCUGAUCCAGCGACGCCGCGUGAGUGAAGAAGUAUUUCGGUAUGUAAAGCUCUAUCAGCAGGGAAGAAAGAAAUGACGGUACCUGACUAAGAAGCCCCGGCUAACUACGUGCCAGCAGCCGCGGUAAUACGUAGGGGGCAAGCGUUAUCCGGAUUUACUGGAUGUAAAGGGAGCGUAGACGGCGAUGCAAGUCAGGGGUGAAAGCCCGGGGCCCAACCCCGGGACUGCCCUUGGAACUGCAUGGCUGGAGUGCGGGAGGGGCAGGCGGAAUUCCUGGUGUAGCGGUGAAAUGCGUAGAUAUCAGGAGGAACACCGGCGGCGAAGGCGGCCUGCUGGACUGCGACUGACGUUGAGGCUCGAAAGCGUGGGGAGCGAACAGGAUUAGAUGCCCUUGUA